AUACGAAGGGUGCAAGCGUUAAUCGGAAUUACUGGGCGUAAAGCGCGCGUAGGCGGUUCGUUAAGUUGGAUGUGAAAGCCCCGGGCUCAACCUGGGAACUGCAUCCAAAACUGGCGAGCUAGAGUAUAGCAGAGGGUGGUGGAAUUUCCUGUGUAGCGGUGAAAUGCGUAGAGCUCGGAAGGAACACCAGUGGCGAAGGCGACCACCUGUGCUAAUACUGACACUGAGGGGCGAAGGCGUGGGGAGCAAACAGGAUUAGAUGCCCUGGUAGUCCACGCCGUAAACGAUGUCGACUAGCCGUUGGGAUCCUUGAGAUCUUAGUGGCGCAGCUAACGCAUUAAGUCGACCGCCUGGGGAGUACGGCCGCAAGGUUAAAACUCAAAUGAAUUGGCGG
rnacentral:rRNA from 1 species